CAGUGUGGGGAAUCACGUGACCCAAAAUGAUACGGAACACGGAAGUCAACAUGGCGGAUUUCUGACUUUUUUACCAAUUUUCAAAGAAAUCGCCAAACCUAAGAAGAAACCGGGUCUGACACUUGGGAAAAGAAGUGGAUAAAGAAGCAAAACAAGAAUGUCAAUAUCAAAGUAACUUUCUAAUUGCCGCAAUCCGUCAAGAAAUCACAAGCGAAAAGACCAUCUAAAUCCCCUAUGUACAACAUAUCUCCAGCAAAUAAAAAAUAAAGUGAAUUUGGUCACCUGACGUUUCCAAAAUAACAACAGAAAAAAAACAGUUUACAAUAACUCCCGAUGAAAGUCUUCAAGAUCACUUUCUGGACAUGUAGAAGAAAACAGUGAUACCAGAGAUGAUGUAGAACGCUUCUUAAACACUGAAUUAGUGUGUGAAGAAAUGUGAAGAAAUCACAUGUCCUCUACUGCAAGCAGAAAGAGACUUCCUGUGAGAAGAAAACAGGGUACUGUUAGUACAUCAAGGAACGCAGUUCAGAAAGGAGCUCUGUGUAUAAGGUGGGAGAAGGCUAGGACGAAUGAAUCUAAAAUGCUACCGAUGAAGAGGAUGGGACUGGACUGAGAAGUGCAUAUGAACGAGAAAAGAAAUAGUUACGAUAUCAGUACCGAAAAUAAAAGGAGGAUGAUAUAAAUACAAUUGGAGAAAAGAAAAAAUAUUUGAGUACUUAAUGUGAAAAGGAAUGUGAUAUAAAUCUACACUAAAUGAGACGAGGAAUUUAAUACAAUUACGGGAAGUGAAAUAGAUACUGAGUGAAGAAAGAACCGAUGUUUUUAAUAGUAAACAUUAGGGAAAAAUUGAUAUAUUCAGUAAACAAUGUGAAAACUGUGAGUACAAUCAUGGGGCUAAAUUUUAUGCAAAAGGACAUUAUGUGAUAUAAAUUGGCAUACUCAAUGGGAAUAGAAAGACUCGAUGACAUUGAGAAAAAGAAAUUUCUAAUGACAGUGUUCUUCUUUGAUUUUGUUUUAAUUUAUUGUUGGUAGCUUGCUGAAUAGAUUCUGUAUAGAUAAUGAAAAUGAGCUUUGAUAGGUUUUUUGUCAAUUGAAAAAAAUCAUGUUUUUUUUUGCACAUGUUUUUGUGACAUAAUUUUGUUUAAUUAUGUUUUUAAUUGCAAUAAAGAAGUAACCGAACUGUUA